rnacentral:lncRNA from 1 species
UCCCUUCAUGAAACCACAGCAGAUGUUUCUCAGUCCUUUCAUUUUCUUUUUUCAGAGGAAUUGUAAUCGGCUGCGCUUUAAUUAGGAUCUCCCCGAGGAUACUUCGGCUUUCUUCCACACCCGGGAGUUUGCAGAUUCCCUCUUAGUGCACCAGGCUGAUUAGAUUUCUUAAUUCCCUAAAAUAUGCUGUCUCGAAGCCUAAUACCCCUGUAGGGAUGAGGUCUGUUUCUCUGCCUCUCCUCCCAUUACAGUGCUAAAUCCAGGCAGUGGUCUCCCUUACGGCACUUGCUUCUUCCCUGGCUCCGGACCCCUUUUUUGGAUGGCCUGCAAACCUUCUGACAAAGAAGCAGCCUUGAAAAGACAAAAUGGAUCCAGCAGGGAAUUAGACAGAAAAUAUUUACAGACUCGGUGAACCAAGAGCUGGGUGUUCCGGGCUGUUGAAGAAAAUGGAGUAAUGGGAUAGAAGCUGCUUUCAACUUCCUGCUGAGGACCCAAGGCCAGGAAAAAAGAAAAUUUUUGGAUAUCAGAAAUCAGAACAGGCCUGGAGUUGGGGAAUAAAUUAGGAAAGACACGGACUCAAGCAAAGGAAGACAUCAGAAGUAGAGGUUGGCCAAAGGACAAAACUACAAAGCAGCAAUUGCAGAUUGAAUCAAAUCAUCAGCUACUGGACAUUACAACAUUCACCAUGGAGAGUAACAAUAAUAUGCAUUUAUCAGAACUUCACUAUGUGCCAGGCACAACAUUUUAUGGAAGAUGAACAGGGUAAAGAACAAGCCUGUGUCAACAAGAGACUGAAUAAGAAACCCUCAAGGAGGAGACGUGGGAGUUGCCUUCAUUCAUUGGAUAGAGUGCCGCAGGACAGGAUGCUCUGAGAGGCCAGCACCACACCCUCUUGACCAUGCUGUAGCCAUAAAUGUUCCAGAGGCAUCUGAGAAAACCACUGCAGAAUACACAGAGCACAGCUGCAUUUUGUCUGCUCCACCUACAACAGGGUUUGCUCUACCCUGCCAUAUCAGAGGCUCCUGAAAAGACCAACUCACAGCACCACAGGAUGUGAUUAAGCCUUGGAGAAGAUUAAUUACCCACUUUCUUAGGAGUCGGUCUCUCCUCCCCACUCACUCAAGUUCCUUUACCCCCCACUAAGCCUCUGAAAGAAUCUAACAUCAUAAACAAGGAUCUCAUUAGCAACUUGAAUUCGGGCUGCAGAUCUUUUGUGAAGAUUUGGUUACAGAUGCUGCUUUAACUUCUGAGGAUUAUUCUUCAGCAUCCAGAGAGACUCCAGUUGCUCCCCUGGGAAAUGUUCCCUCACUUGAAUAACUCAUCUGUUCACCCAUUGGCAUAACUGCUGCCAGUUCUAAGCACCUGCUGAGGAGUGGACCCAGAUUAGGCCUCUGGCAGGGCUACAAAGAAGGCAUUUCAGUGUUGGACUUCCCAUUCCAUUUGCAUCUUCAGGGGAAGUUAAUGUCCCACUCAAGUUUCUCUCAGUUAGGGUGACAGGGAGAUGCAGUUCUUCAAAUGCUGUCCUCAAGUAGAGAGGGAGACCACAGAGCUCCGACUGGCUUGCCAGCCCAUGGAGCCAUUUUUUCUUUGGUGGUGGAUGCUCUCGGUGUGGCCUCUAGAGCUCCUUUCAUGAUCCUUUUCUCUCUGCAUUCCCACUGCUCUCCCCUCGGGUGGGUCCACAUCACCUCUCGCCUGGACCUCAGUCUGUCUCUUCUCUGCUAACCAGGGUGUCUUCACUUCUCUGCAGCUUUCACACGGCAGCCAGAUUAAUGUUCCUCAGUGCAGCUUUGAUCACACCACUGUGCCCAAACAAAAUCUUUCAUGGCCCCCAGCUACCCAGUGAUCAAAGUCCAGGGUCCUCACUCCAGCAUUAAAGAGCCUCUGUAUUGUGGAUCCCAAAUCAUCACAUGCCCCACCUCCAUCACCCAUCUGUUCCACUCCCACCUACCUCAACCUCAGUUCUAGUCCUUCAAGCUGCAGGCAGCAGCUCAUUGAGAAGGUCAUGAAAUCAAUGAAGUAUGUGACGAAAGCAUUUUAAAAUGAAAUUUAUAGCAAAAGAACAAAUAUGUAUAUGGCUUUCUAUAUAGCAGGCUCCAUUCCAAAUACUUUGCAUAGACUCACAUACUUCUCACACUGUCCCUAGGGAAAUAAGCACUCUUGCUAUCCCUGUUUUACAGAUAAGGACACAGACCCAGGGAGGUUAAAUAAGUUGUCCAAAGUGAUUAAUUCUGGCUUGAACCCAGAGAGCCUUGUAUCAGAAGCCACACUCUGCUAUACUCCCCAUGAUGUACUAUAUGGAAUAAAACUAUAUUCUAGAUUUUGUAAAACCAUAUGGAACAGAAUAGAAAAUUUAGGGCAUUCUGUAUAUACAAUGGUAAAUGUUCCAUGAAGGUCUGUUGGAGAUAAAUAUAAAUGUAUACACACAAGACUACAGUAGAAAAUGUGUAUUGUGCUGAGUACACAAGGUCAAGUGUUUGUCUUACUGUGGCUUGUGGGCAAAAACAUGUGAAACCUGUUGUUCUGGCUAAAACCAAGGAACUGCCAAUGAUCUCUCAUGCUUCUUUGCCUCUACAUCUUCACCCACACUGAUCCCAGCACUGGAAACAUCUUUCCCCGUCGUUUCUCACCUGUAUCUCUGGUCCAAACAUGUCUUGUCCAUGGAGUCUUUCUUAAUUCUUCUCUUUAUUCUGUCUUCUAAAUUAUAAGCUUCUUGAGGGCUUAGGUACAUACAUUUCACAAUCAGUUCUUGCUUCCUGACAAAGAAGGAAGCAUCUUCCAGGAGGCUUUUACUCCCAACCUACUUUCAACCCCCAUUGGUGUGAUGAGAUUUCUGAUAUUCGUCUUCUUUCUGUGAUAGUUUGGGACAAUGGUUCUCAAAGUGUGGUCCCCAGACCAGCAACAUCAGCAUCGCCUGGGACUUGUUAGAGAUGCGUAUUCUCAGGCCCCAUCCCAGACCUACUGAAUCGGAUUAUCUGAGGGUGAACAACAGCAGCGUGUGCUACAACCAGCCUUCCAAGUGAUUCUGAUGCUUGUGCAAGUUCGAGAACCACUGGCUUAAGAAAAAGCCAUUCUUAUUCAAUAUGAGAGAAGGGUUUGUUUCAUGACUCUGGGCCAGUUGGCUGCAUUGUAUUGCUUAUGAGGACAAGGUCAGGGGAUCAACUUUGUGUAUCCAAGUCAGCAACAUGUCACACCACACAUUGAAUCCCCCAACCCUAGCUUUUGUGCAAUUGCAAGCUAUUUAGUCCCAAAAGAACUAUGGAUGUCUCAGUGCCAAAGCUAACUCACCUAAAUUACUACUGUCAUCGCAUUAAUGGAGCCAGACUCACAGCCACGAGCCAUCAAGCACCCUGCAGGGGACAGUAAAAGCAGAACCAGGAAUGGACAAAGACAUUGUUAGAAGUCAAGAGAACAUGGACUUUCUAAAUACCAAAGCAUUUUAGAAGGUAUGGCUAAAACAGAUUGCAAAUGAUGAAAGGCAGUAAAAAUCCAAGUGGGUUUAGGAUGGGAAAUUUCAAAUUUCAUAGGAAAUCCAAGGUCACAGAAAUAAUAAACCAGAAUGACCUAGGAGCUAGCACUUGAUAGAUUCAGGAGCAUUUCCAUGGACAGACAUUUUAUAUUUGAAGAAACUCGAAUCUAUAUUCCAAGAAGUUAAGAAACAAGAUCAUGCAAUGAGGAAAUAGCAGAAUAGAAUGCAAACCAACUUUUUUUACCCAGGAGUCUCAACUAAAGGUCUGCCUGCCCUGCCGAGGGCACUCCCCUCUCUGCGGUUUCUCUUCUACACUCCUGCCACACUGGCCCCAGUGCUGCCAUGUCCACUCCCAGGGCUCUGCACUUACUCUUCCUUCUCUUUUAAGUAUUUUUUCGCUAGCUGUUCCCAGAGCUGCACCCUCCUCAUCCUUUAGGCCUCAACCCAAAUGUUACUUACUCAGAGAGUUCUUCCCUGACCACCCAGCCCACACUUCUGUGACUGUACAAGUUUCCUGGGGCUGCUGAAACAAAUGACUGCAAAGUUGGUGACUUAAACCACCACAACAUAAGUUGGCUGGUUGUGGUGGCUCACGCCUGUAAUCCCAGCACUUUGGGAGGCCCAGGCGGGCGGAUCAUGAGGUCAGGAGAUUGAGACCAUCCUGGCCAACGUGAUGAAACCUCAUCUCAACUAAAAUACAAAAAAAUUAGCCGGGUAUGGUGGUGUGUGCCUAUAGUCCCAGCUGCUCAGGAGGCUGAGGCAGGAGAAUUGCUUGAACCCAGGAGGCAGAGAUUGAAGUGAGCCAAGAUCACACCACUGCAUUCCAGCCUGGACAACAGAACGAGACUCCAUCACAAAAACAAAACAAAACAAAACAAAACAAAAACAUAAGUUUUUUCACUUACAG